rnacentral:rRNA from 1 species
UACGUAGGGUGCAAGCGUUAAUCGGAAUUACUGGGCGUAAAGCGUGCGCAGGCGGUGAUGUAAGACAGUUGUGAAAUCCCCGGGCUCAACCUGGGAACUGCAUCUGUGACUGCAUUGCUGGAGUGCGGCAGAGGGGGAUGGAAUUCCGCGUGUAGCAGUGAAAUGCGUAGAUAUGCGGAGGAACACCGAUGGCGAAGGCAAUCCCCUGGGCCUGCACUGACGCUCAUGCACGAAAAGCGUGGGGAUCAAACAGG